UACGGAGGGUGCAAGCGUUAUCCGGAUUCACUGGGUUUAAAGGGUGCGUAGGUGGGUUGGUAAGUCAGGGGUGAAAUCUCCGGGCUUAACUCGGAAACUGCAGUUGAUACUAUCAAUCUUGAAUCUCGUGGAGGUAAGCGGAAUAUGUCAUGUAGCGGUGAAAUGCUUAGAUAUGACAUAGAACACCGAUAGCGAAGGCAGCUUGCUACACGAGUAUUGACACUGAGGCACGAAAGCGUGGGGAGCAAACAGG
rnacentral:rRNA from 1 species